AUUGAACGCUGGCGGCAUGCCUUACACAUGCAAGUCGAACGGCAGCGCGGACUUCGGUCUGGCGGCGAGUGGCGAACGGGUGAGUAAUACAUCGGAACGUACCCUGUUGUGGGGGAUAACUAGUCGAAAGAUUAGCUAAUACCGCAUACGACCUGAGGGUGAAAGUGGGGGACCGCAAGGCCUCACGCAGCAGGAGCGGCCGAUGUCUGAUUAGCUAGUUGGUGGGGUAAAGGCCCACCAAGGCGACGAUCAGUAGCUGGUCUGAGAGGACGAUCAGCCACACUGGGACUGAGACACGGCCCAGACUCCUACGGGAGGCAGCAGUGGGGAAUUUUGGACAAUGGGGGCAACCCUGAUCCAGCAAUGCCGCGUGUGUGAAGAAGGCCUUCGGGUUGUAAAGCACUUUUGUCCGGAAAGAUAUCGCGCUGGUUAAUACCUGGCGUGAAUGACGGUACCGGAAGAAUAAGCACCGGCUAACUACGUG
rnacentral:rRNA from 1 species